GCGGUUUUUGAGGAUGUCGUUUGUCCGCAUUACACGCCUCCCUACCCUUCACGAGGACUUGGGAAGGAAACAAAGACUAGUC
rnacentral:telomerase_RNA from 1 species